rnacentral:lncRNA from 1 species
AUGAUUUUCCCAGGGACCACUGCCACGUGGGGGUGGGGAAUGAGCACAGGUCCCAAGCCUCAAGCUAGCAGGGGUCAGAGAAAUGAUGGGGCAGAGGCGAGGCAAACACCACCCAGCCAUAUCCCUACACUUUCGCACCCCACUCCACCCCCCACCACGCCCCCGCCACACUGCUCAACCAGAGCCCUGCCCCUCCAGGAAGCAGAGGGUCCACUUUCAUCAAUCAGCUGUGUGAUGUCGGGCAACUUAAGUUUUCUUUCUUUUUUUUUUUCUGUCUUGUUAGGGCCACACCCACAGAAUGUGGAGAUUCCCAGGCUAGGGGUUGAAUCGGAAAAGAAGAAAGAACAACAAAAAGAGUAAAAAUAUGAGUAAACAUAAUAAGCUUUUCCUUUUAACUUUUCUAAAUUAGGUUUGAUGGCUAAGGCAGAAAUGAUAACAUCAUCUAAUGUGGUUAUCAAUAUUUGUAAGGAACUAUGUAAGACAAUUAUAAUUGAGGGAAGGUAAGGGGACUUAAAGGGAGGUCGUAUUUCUAUUUUUUUUUUUUUUUUUUGGUCUUUCUGCCUUUUCUAGGGCUGCUCCCGAGGCAUAUGGAGGUUCCCAGGCUAGGGGUCUAAUUGGAGCCAUAGCCACUGGCCUAUGCCAGAGGCACAGCAACGUGGGAAUCCAGUGUUGCUGUGAGCUGUGGUGUAGGUCACAGACACAGCUUGGAUCUGGCAUUGCUGUGCCUGUGGUGUAGGCUGGCAGCUGCAGCUUUGAUUCGACCCCUAGCCUGGGAACUUCCAUAUGCUGCAGGUGUGGCCCCAGAUAUCAAAAACAAACAAACAAAAAGACAAUUAUACGUUACCUAAAGAAACUCAGUUUAAAUAUACUGACAGAAAAACCUUGGGGGACAGGUGGGAGGAGGGGGAGAAACAGACUGGGGAUUUGGGAUUGGCAUAUGCACACUGAGGUAUAUGGAAUGAUUGGCCAACCAGAACCUCCUGUCUGGCACAGAGAACUCUACCCAAUGUUCUGUGAUAACCUACGUGGGAGAAGAAUCUGAAAGGGAGUGGUAUCACUGAGUCACUUUGUUGUUCAGCAGAAAUUAUACAACUUUGUAAAUCAACUAUACUUCAAUAAAACUUUUAAAAAUGAAACAAUAAAUACAGCGAUAAUAGUAGGUUAACAGUAAAAGAUGAAACAAGCUAUCCCAUGCAAACAUUAAUCAAAGAGAGAAAGAGGGGAUAUAUUAGUAGCCAAUAAAGUAUUUCAGAGCUAAGAAAAUCCCCAGUUUCAGAGAGGGAAAGAGAGGGCUAUUAGUGAUAAAAGGCUCAAUCCACAAAAAGAUUAGCCAUUCUAAACAUGCAGUCAUCAAAUAAGAGAUGCAAAAUAUGUGAAACAAAAAAUGAUAGAACUGAAAAGCGAAAUAAACAAAAAGCAGAUUUCAAAAUGAAUGCAUGGAAAUUAAGGUUAAAAUACAAUACCAUGUGCAACUGCUCCAAAAAAAAUGAAAUACUUCAGGUAUAAACCUCACAAAACCUGUAUAUGACUCGUAUGUUGGAAACUACAAAUCUUCCUUUUUUGACCAAAAAAUCAAAGAUCUGAAUAAAUAAAGAGACAUUCCAUGUUCAUAAGACUCAUUAUCACAAGACUCACAGCAAAGAUGGCAAUUUUCUCCAAACUGACUUAUAAGUUUAAAGUAAUUCCAGCAAGAUUAUUACUAUAUAGAGAUUGGCUUAUUCUAAAAUUUAUACCAGACAGGCAAAGGAACUGGGAGAGCUAAAAACACUAGAAGAGUUGCCACAUUAUCUUACAAUGGAGAGGGGCUACUUCCUCUCACUUUAGGCCAACACUCAGUGCCCUGUAUUAAAUCCCUCUUGCUUUAAAUACCUAGAAUGGUUUCUGGCUACACUGGACCCAUAGCUCCUUUUUUCCAAGCCCCCAGGUCAUCCCUAUCAGCUAGAUUUUAACCCCUUGCAGCUCUGUAUCUCCCCUAAGCUACACCAUCUCCCUCCCUUCCUUGACUCCCUUAUAGCAUUUUCUAGAAUGGCAGUGUA